rnacentral:rRNA from 1 species
UAGGGAAUCUUCGGCAAUGGGGGCAACCCUGACCGAGCAACGCCGCGUGAGUGAAGAAGGUUUUCGGAUCGUAAAGCUCUGUUGUAAGAGAAGAACGUGUGUGAGAGUGGAAAGUUCACACAGUGACGGUAACUUACCAGAAAGGGACGGCUAACUACGUGCCAGCAGCCGCGGUAAUACGUAGGUCUCGAGCGUUGUCCGGAUUUAUUGGGCGUAAAGCGAGCGCAGGCGGUUUAAUAAGUCUGAAGUUAAAGGCAGUGGCUUAACCAUUGUUCGCUUUGGAAACUGUUAAACUUGAGUGCAGAAGGGGAGAGUGGAAUUCCAUGUGUAGCGGUGAAAUGCGUAGAUAUAUGGAGGAACACCGGUGGCGAAAGCGGCUCUCUGGUCUGUAACUGACGCUGAGGCUCGAAAGCGUGGGGAGCAAACAGG